rnacentral:rRNA from 1 species
AUGGCCACGGCACACUGUUACCCGCCGCCGCCGCCCAUCGCCCACGCGCUUCCAAGGCCGCACGCCGCCGACAGCGCCGUCGCCCUCCUCCCCGACGACGGCGGCAGCGACAGCGAGAGCGUGGCGGAGUCGUCGUGCCCGCACCCGCGCCGGCCGACGGCGAGCGGGGACGAGGAGGAGGAGGAGGAGGACGGGUGCAGCGGCAGCUGCGUGGAGGCGGACGAGUACUGGGGGUACUACCAGCAGCAGCAGCAUCCGCAGGAAGCCGACGAAGAGGAGGAGGUCAGCACGGCGAGCGUCUGGUGGAAGAAGAAACGGGCGGCGGCGGCGGCUGGUAGGGCCGGCGGCGCGUUCCCCUCGGCGGUGGGGCGUGAGGGGGAGGAGAAGAAGGCGGAGGACCCGAAGCGGGCGGCGGCGCGGCAGGAGGAGGACCGCAAGUUCUGGGCGGACUGCCUCGCCACAGGGUACCCAUGA